UACGUAGGGCGCAAGCGUUUGUCCGGAAUUAUUGGGCGUAAAGAGCUCGUAGGCGGUUUGUCGCGUCUGCUGUGAAAACCUAAGGCUCAACCUUGGGCUUGCAGUGGGUACGGGCAGACUAGAGUGCGGUAGGGGUGACUGGAAUUCCUGGUGUAGCGGUGGAAUGCGCAGAUAUCAGGAGGAACACCGAUGGCGAAAGGGCAGGUCACUGG
rnacentral:rRNA from 1 species